GUGUGUGUGUGUGUGUGUGUGUGUGUGUGUGUGUGUGUGUGUGUGGCAUCCCGGUUCGCGGAUGUUUCUGUCGCACACGGAAUGCACCACACUCAGGGUCCAAGGUAAGCCGUAGUCGGCGUUUAUUCAAUGAAGGUACAGGGUAAAGCAGACACUAUCGAUCGUGGCCUCCGCGAGGCUCUCUCCUGUCGACUCGUCGUUGGCUGCUCCUACUAGUUCCCCCGGUGUGCGUCCGUGACCGUCUUUUAAGCCGGCUCUCCCCUCCUCCGGCCGGGUGCGUUGCAUCCCGGUGAUUGCGCCGGAUGCCGGCGCAUGCUCUGCUGCCGACUGGUGGGUGAAGGCGGUACACCCCGUCGACCACUACCCCGCGGUUCCCCCGGGUAGGGAGCGGGUUGUCACAACACACACACACACACACACACACACACACACACACACACUAGAC
ensembl:lncRNA